CACGAAGUUAGCCGGGGCUUCUUCUCACGCUACCGUCAUCAUCGUCGCGUGCGAAAGAGCUUUACAACCCUAAGGCCUUCAUCACUCACGCGGCAUUGCUGGAUCAGGGUUGCCCCCCAUUGUCCAAUAUUCCCCACUGCUGCCUCCCGUAGGAGUCUGGGCCGUGUCUCAGUCCCAGUGUGGCUGAUCAUCCUCUCAGACCAGCUACCGAUCGUCGGCUUGGUGGGCCAUUACCCCACCAACUACCUAAUCGGACGCGGGCCCCUCUCAUGGCGUAAACUUUCCCCCGAAGGGCACAUCCGGUGUUAGCGUCCGUUUCCAGACGUUAUCCCGAACCAUAAGGCAGGUUCCCACGUGUUACUCACCCGUGCGCCACUAAGGCCGAAGCCUUCGUUCGACUUGCAUGUGUUAGGCAUGCCGCCAGCGUCGUUCUGAGCCACGGAGUCAAACUAC
rnacentral:rRNA from 1 species